AACUUAAAGUGAUUGACGGAAGGGCACCACCAGGGGUGGAGCCUGCGGCUUAAUUUGACUCAACACGGGGAACUCACCAGGUCCAGACACGAUGAGGAUUGACAGAUUGAGAGCUCUUUCUUGAUUUCGUGGGUGGUGGUGCAUGGCCGUUCUUAGUUGGUGGAGUGAUUUGUCAGCUUAAUUGCGAUAACGAACGAGACCUUAACCUGCUAAAUAGCCCGUAUUGCUUUGGCAGUACGCUGGCUUCUUAGAGGGACUAUCGGCUCAAGCCGAUGGAAGUUUGAGGCAAUAACAGUUCCGUAGGUGAACCUGCGGAGGGAUCAUUAAAGAGUUGCAAAACUCCCACAACCAUCGCGACGCUACCCAGACGUCGUUGCUUCGGCGGGCUCGCCCGCCGGGGGGACGCCACCAGACUCUUGCAGUUUUUCGGCCUCUCUGAGUAUGAUUUUUAAAUGAGUCAAAACUUUCAACAACGGAUCUCUUGUUCUGGCAUCGAUGAAGAACGCAGCGAAAUGCGAUAAGUAAUGUGAAUUGCAGAAUUCAGUGAAUCAUCGAAUCUUUGAACGCACAUUGCGCCCGCCAGUAUUCUGGCGGGCAUGCCUGUUCGAGCGUCAUUUCAACCUUCAAGCCCUGCUUGUGUUGGGGCCCUGCGGCUGCCCGCAGGCCCUGAAAACCAGUGGCGGGCUCGCUAGUCACACCGAGCGCAGUAGCACAUCUCGCUCAGGGCGUGCGGCGGGUUCUUGCCGUUAAACCACCCCCUUCCACAGGUUGACCUCGGAUCAGGUAGGAAUACCCGCUGAACUUAAGCA
rnacentral:rRNA from 1 species